UACAGAGGUGGCAAGCGUUGUUCGGAAUUACUGGGCGUAAAGGGCGCGUAGGCGGCCUUCUAAGUCAGACGUGAAAUCCCCCGGCUUAACCUGGGAACUGCGUCUGAUACUGGGAGGCUAGAGUAUGGGAGAGGGAUGUAGAAUUCCAGGUGUAGCGGUGAAAUGCGUAGAUAUCAGGAGGAACACCGGUGGCGAAGGCGGCUUGCUGGGCCUGUCCUGACGCUGAGGAGCGAAAGCGUGGGGAGCGAACAGG
rnacentral:rRNA from 1 species